rnacentral:ribozyme from 1 species
UGUUUUUUUGUUUUUUCUUUUUUUCUUCUUCUUUCUUUUUCUAUGUAAAAUGUACACUAAUAACUUUAAAAAAAUACAGGUGACGCUGC